rnacentral:rRNA from 1 species
CAGGCCUAACACAUGCAAGUCGCACGGGGGCUUCGGCUCGAGUGGCGGACGGGUGAGUAACGCGUAGGAACGUGUCUUGGGGUGGGGGAUAACGCUGGGAAACUGGCGCUAAUACCGCAUAUGGGCUGAGGCCCAAAGCCUUCGGGUGCCUUGAGAGCGGCCUGCGUCCGAUUAGCUAGUUGGUGGGGUAAAGGCUUACCAAGGCUUCGAUCGGUAGCUGGUCUGAGAGGACGAUCAGCCACACUGGGACUGAGACACGGCCCAGACUCCUACGGGAGGCAGCAGUGGGGAAUAUUGGACAAUGGGCGCAAGCCUGAUCCAGCCAUGCCGCGUGAGUGAUGAAGGCCUUAGGGUUGUAAAGCUCUUUUAUCCGGGACGAUAAUGACGGUACCGGAGGAAUAAGCCCCGGCUAACUUCGUGCCAGCAGCCGCGGUAAU